CAUUUCUUUGGGCCACUCCCGCGGUAUAUGGAGGUUCCCAGGCUAGGGGUCUAAUGGGAGCUAUAGCCACCACCCUAUGCCAGAGCCACAGCAACACGGGAUCCGAGCCGCAUCUGCAACCUACACCACAGCUCACGGCAACACCGGAUCCUUAACCCACUGAGCAAGGGCAGGGACCGAACCUGCAACCUCAUGGUUCCUAGUCGGAUUCGUUAACCACUGCGCCACGACGGGAACUCCAUUCUCUCUCUUUUUAAUCCUUUCGUGGAACCUCAGUGCCCGGGAGCAGAUGACUCGAAGCCCCUCCUGCCAAUGCUCCCAUCUGGGCCCAGGGAUGUCCGCUGCUCACUCAUCCCUUUGGUGGUCCCUCUGCUUUCUUUCGUUUGGGCAUUUACUUAUCUACACGGGCCCAGAGUCGGAAAACUUUAGGCUAAAGUUAACCCUCAUCGUUGGUUCCCUGGGUCCUUUUCCAGCUCAUCUUUUUCCAGAACUCUCCGUCUGCAGGUUCUUUCCUUUUUUGUGCCGGGAGUAUGCAUUUGGAGUCAUCCUAAUGCUUGGCUCAUAAUCACGUGACCCUGUCCUCCAUAGAGAUGUCCUCGCCCCCUAAUUUUAAAAAUACUCAUUUUGGGGGCUCUCUCCGUGUGCCUCCCCCUUUCAGUCACUCCUUCCCUCUCCUGCACCGUCUCCCCCGCUGGGCCUCAUCAUCUCAUUGUCACCCCUGGUUUACGCGUGUCCACCUCUAACUCAUUCUUUCUUCCAUCUAGGUUUUAUCCUUUAAUGACAAACUUCAGGUGCCCGAUACCCAAAGUUCACGGGUCGCUCCGCCCACGAUGACCUGACCUUGCUUCCGACGUGGCCCUAUGUCUAUCCCGAGUCCCGACUUCCUGACACAACCACUGACGUCCUGGGCAUCGGUGGGCUCUCACUCAGGGCACACUCUCACCCGGGCUUGAUUCCUUCUCUCCCUGUUUCUCUGUUUGCUCAUUCCUGCAUGCUUUCAUCCACGGAUGCAUCCAUUCGCUUGUUUGGACCAGGUCACACCUCCCAGCCGUGACCUCCCAACCAGAAUAGAACCUUCACAGUAUCUCUGACCUCCCAGCUCCUCCCACUGAAUUAACCACCCAGGUGCACACAACCCACGGUCCCCAACACAUACGCAUGGCAGGUGCAGGCGCAGGCACAGGAAAUGUUAGUGCAGCCAGAACCCGCCCCCACCGCCCCAGGGGCUCAUAUCCUACACAGAGGGGGUGGGGGUGGGUGGGGGUGGCAGAUCUGCAAUUAGGGCGGGAUGCCCCAGUCCCCGCUUCCCCAGGCCCCCUUCGGGGGGGCAGGCGCUUCCCCCUGGACCCCUGUGAAUGGCCAUCCCCAGGAGAAACCCGUUUCAAGACCCGAGAGCACACAGACACACACACGGCGGACACCGUCUCCCCGGUGGCCAACGACGGACAGAGUUCAUCUUAAAAUAGACGGCUUUGUCUGGAGCGAUAUAAAAAUAUUUUGGCCUUUCAGGGCAAAUACAAAAGGAACUACCCAUUAGCACUGCUGAGUGUCUCAGUCCCAAACAAUAAAGAACUUUGAAGAGGUUUAGCCGGAAACUUUGAAGACAGAAAAUCUGUCCAUUCUGUUUUCCAGACAAUUCAAGGAGGAGGGGGACGCGAAGGUCACUGGAGCGCCGAGCCCGUUCGAGAGGCUGGUCCCUCGGCCCUUGGAAGGGCCCCCCAGCAAGGCCACUUGCAUCCUAGCCUGCCCUGCGGCACAAGAGCCAAAGGGAGACUCGGUCAUGAAAGGGCCAUUCACGUGGCGCAGUGGGCACUGGAGGCCGCCUCGGGAACUCUUUGGCCGUGGAGGAGACACAGGAGCCUGAGGUCCGGCCUCAGAACACAAGCCCCCAGGGCCGCCCCUGGCUUGGCUCUCUGGGCACCCACCUCCCGUGAGCGGACCGCCACCCAGCGCUCACCACUCCCUCUCACCAGGCUGUUCUGGGUGGCAACCUGCCACCCUUGGUGACCAGCUACCAAUGUGCUCCCCACACCCCAGCAACUUACGAUUUCAGAGCUGGAGGGUGCAGGAGCCACAUGUCUGAGGUCCCUUCCGACGGAGGACACAGAUGAUGGCUUCAGCUGGAACGAGAAAGCACCAGGCGAGGAGCUCCACGGCUAGCGCUCACUUGCUCUCACCUGCCCAGCGCCCCAGCCCGGCAUCCCCCACAUCUGGGGCAGGGGUGAUGGCAUAGAACAUGCCUCCCGGGUAGGGUUGGCUGGUGCUUCCUGUGAUGCCAAGCACUGUUCUGUGGAACCCAAAGGUUUAGGGCCACCGCCUGCGUGAGAGCUGAGCUGGAUACACCGAAAGCCAAGCUGGAAGGCUUCCUGGAAGGGAGGGUGCCGCGGGGGCACGGCCAAGCCAGUGUUAGUGCUCAGGGGGCAGCAGCAACUGGGCAGCUGGCCUUGGAUGAGACUAGGGAAGUGGGUCGUGGGGUCUUUCGUGGGCCGUGGGUCCUGAAACUGCAGGAUGGAAGAGGAGAGACGAUGCUGCCCAGACAAAGGUGUAUGCAUUUCCAGUAGCACCACGGACAAGCCACGACCAGGCACAACCAGUCUCUGACCUCGAGCAUCUGCCUUAAAAUUGUUUUUAAAAAAUGAGUUGAAUAAUGAUAGACCCAGGUUUUUAUAUCUGUCAAAACCCAUAGAUGGUAGGACACAAAGAGUGACCCCCUAACGAUGUAAACAACAGACUCGAGUUAAUAGCGGUUAUCAAGGUUGGCUCAUCAACUCGAACGCCUGCGCCACAUUAAUGUGAAUGGGGGAGAAGGGGGGCGGGGGGAUGAUGAGAAUUCCCUGCACGCGCCCCUCUCUCUGCAAAUCUAAAAUGACUCAGGACGGCCCUGAUGCCCUCAGGGGUUGAGGGCUCCACGCCGUCACCGCUGUGGCUCGGGUUUGAUCCCUGGCCCAGGCACUUCUGCAUGCUGCGGGCGUGGCAGACAUAGAUAAAUAAUGCAACUGCUCAGGAAAAUAAAGCGUCAUUUUUUUUUUUUUUAAUAUUUUAAGGGAGUGCAUUUUGGCUAGUGCAGGGGGGUAGGCAUGGCUGACAGGAGGUGGCUGACGGCUGAGGUGUGAACAGCACUGGAAGGUGGUGAGGGCAACACCAGAGUCUGGGGCAAGCCUGAGAGGGGCACAGUGCUCCGUGGGCCAGUGAGAACCCCAAGGAAGGAAGAGGCCCUCACACCCCCUGCCCUGACUGGGGCAGCCCUGCCCCCACCCCGGUUGCCUCUGUCCCUCCAACCCGGUGACUCACUCACUGGGGCACCCAAGACGCGGCCAGGGCACGGGACACCCGCCUCUCACUUCCUGUGCUCCUAAGAAUUCCCUCCCUGGCCUUGAGCUUCCCAAACGCUGCUCUCCCUCAAUUGCUUGAGUUUACAACCAAGAAACACGAAGUCUUUAAAAUAAAGAAAGACGUGCUCUUUAAGCAGCCAGCAGCUCAUGGGUGACCAAGGGCCGACUCUGGUUUUGUAAGGGCCCUCUGGGUGCCCAUGUUGUGCUCGAUGCCACCCAAGAGGGUCCCCAGCCCUCCCCAGGAGCCCGGGAGUGCCCAAGCGGCCCUCUCAUCAUCACUACGGUCCUACAAUGCCCAAAACAACUCCAGACCCAAACACGCAGCAAGACCACAGGCCCCAGCACCUCCCGUGGGAUUAAGAGCCGGGAAAGCGCUUUGCUGGGUGGCUCUGGUUGGGUUCUCUUGGGGGAAAUCAGAAGCAGCUCAGGGCAUCUGGGUUUUUUCCUGCUUCUGCCCCAGGGACCCCAGGAACCCUCCGAGCUCCUGACCGUCCAUAAUUAACCCCAGGCUGCUCUGCAAAGCUGCAGCCCCGCCAAAGCCACGCCUCGGUUCCCAAGCUUCAGGACCAGCCCGGGGUUUGCUGUGAUGGAGGAGCACGGCAGCGCGGGCUGUGAUGGGAACGGAUGGAGGUGCCGCAGGUGGAGCCACUGUCUGGAACCAAAGGAAAACACCAGGCCCCCUUCCAGCGUCCACAGGCCAUUGAGCGACAGCCUCACUGAGGCACGUGCUGAGCCCGUGAGCCACGCAGGAAGCAGGGGUGGGCACGUCGCAAACACGCUCCGGGGCUUAACAGGAUUGGAAAAUUCUAGCUCUGCCUCUCAAGACGUUAAGCGUUCCUCUCUUCUGGAGGCAACCAGAACCCAAUCGCUCUGGCACGUCUUCGGGUACAAAGAGCGUGGGAAUGUUUCGCGCGAGGAAAGAGGUCACAGGGUGAUUUUUCAUAAAAGCGGGGAUUCUGGGAACGAGAGCCACGAGUUUCCACAGAUCGCCAUCGGCCUGGCCUCAGAUCUCAGGCUUCCUACCUGUGUUGAGUUCAGACCACCCUCCUCCAGCUCCCCCCCCCCCGCCCCCGACCACCCCACAAAAGCAAGCUCUUUGCACAACUCAUUUCCUGUGCCUUUGUGGAGGCCAGGGCCCUGGACGUUCUGGGCUCAUUUAUGAAAAUGGGGGAGCUAAUUAGGACAUCUUUGGAAAUCACGCUCCCCCCCGCCUCGCCGGCCCCCACCGGCCCUCUCAUUUCAGGGGGCUGGGCUGUGGCGGCUGCUUACAUAUAUGCCUCUUCCUGGAAUUUCACUCUUUGCUUCAGGAGUGGGCAAUUAGAGAGAAUUAAGGCCUAUUUGGCGUAUGCGUACCAUUAAUGGACAGAGCCACGGAGGCAGCCUUGGGAAAGGCAGUCGGCGGGUCUAAGAGAAGCUGGCAAUUUUUCGAUUCCUCCUUUCAGCUCACAGGUACUGUAGCAACCAAGGUCACCAAACAAAGGCCGCAGCCCAGCACGGCGAUCGCCAAGCGCAGGCCCACUUCUGGGCGCUGUUUAUCACCACACACUGAAGCACAAAGACAGGCCGAGGGCUGCUUGCAAAUCGGAGCCCGAGAUGGGCAGCCAGGGGAGGCCCGGCCACUGAUGGCUUUUUCAGAAAGUUCUCAGCUGAGCGAGCCGGGGCGCCAACAGAGGUGUUGCCGAGGGUCUCGUGACGAAAAGGCCGUGCAGCCGGCCACAACCUCCCGGGGCUGUGGCCACAGGGCCAGGCCCACAACGAGGCCCAGCAAGGUGCUCCAGGCCUGGCCGGCGGCCCACCUGUUUGGAAGACAGUUCCGCAAAGUGCAAUCCCUGUCCCACAGCACGUGGGCAGCCCCUGGCAGCUGAUUCUGUGCCUGAGUCCUGCGUGUUCACAAAACGCUGACCGUGAGGACUGGCCAGGGACGGUCACCCAGUUGCUCAG
rnacentral:lncRNA from 1 species